rnacentral:rRNA from 1 species
UACGUAGGGCGCGAGCGUUGUCCGGAAUUAUUGGGCGUAAGAGCUCGUAGGCGGCCUGUUGCGUCCGCUGUGAAAUCCCGGGGCCUCAACCCUGGGCGUGCAGUGGAUACGGGCAGGCUGGAGGCAGGCAGGGGAGAACGGAAUUCCCGGUGUAGCGGUGAAAUGCGCAGAUAUCUGGAGGAAUACCGGUGGCGAAGGCGGCAUCCUGGACCGGCAUUGACGCGUGAACAGCGAAAGCUAGGGGAGCAA